rnacentral:lncRNA from 1 species
GUUGAACAGCUGUCACUGCAUGUGCUGCUAACCAGAGGGACUCCAGCCACAUUGCUGUUCUCCAGGAAGUCUCCUUACUCCUGCUCAGGAUACAAAACCACCAAGAAUCAUCAAAUGGAUUGAAAUACAAGACACAGAAAGGAUUCUGUCUGGACUCAGACUUGCUCAAAAAGUUUUUUUCCUUCUUCUGUGAAAACAAAACAAAGCUCUUGGCAAGGCACCGUGCACUUACAGCCCUCUUCCUUCUCCUUUGUGAGGUGUGAUGUCACCACUUGGCACUGGGAAAGCCAUUGUCUCCCUGAGACUCCCAUAAAUGGCCUUUCUGUGCUCCUGAUUUACAUGUUAAGAAAUCGGAUGGGAAUUGCUUGCUAUGGUGACUCCCACUUUCCUUUCAGUUAAACAUGAUUUGGUAGUAAAUAUCCACAGGAUACAUUGUUAUUCAUGGUACAUCCUGCCCACUACCUAAGCACUUUUUUUUUUCAGUUUUUUGGAACUCUCAAUUUGAACAGAAUUUGCAAAAUAAAGCUCUUCUUCCCUUCUCCCCCCUCUCCUCC